GAUGAACGCUGGCGGUAUGCUUAACACGUGCAAGUCGAACGGACUCUUCGGAGUUAGUGGCGGACGGGUGAGUAACGCGUGAGAAUCUGGCUUUGGGUUCGGGACAACCACUGGAAACGGUGGCUAAUACCGGAUGUGCCGAGAGGUAAAAGAGAAAUUGCCUGAAGAUGAGCUCGCGUCUGAUUAGCUAGUUGGUGAGGUAAAGGCUCACCAAGGCAGCGAUCAGUAGCUGGUCUGAGAGGAUGACCAGCCACACUGGGACUGAGACACGGCCCAGACUCCUACGGGAGGCAGCAGUGGGGAAUUUUCCGCAAUGGGCGAAAGCCUGACGGAGCAGUACCGCGUGAGGGAAGAAGGCUCUUGGGUUGUAAACCUCUUUUCUUAGGGAAGAACAAAAUGACGGUACCUAAGGAAUCAGCAUCGGCUAACUCCGUG
rnacentral:rRNA from 1 species